rnacentral:lncRNA from 1 species
AUUCAAGAUGAUGAAGUGCUUCUAUUAUAUCUCUUCCAAAGCUAGAUAUAUAUUGAUCUCAUAUACAUAACAGAAGAAUUAAUUAAUUCUUGACAGAAUUAUUCUCUGAUCAUGAUGCUAGCUUAUGUUUUGAAUGGAUGAGGAAGAGUGAGAGGGGAAUGUAAAGUACUUGAUAGGUAGUUUUGGUUUGGAGUGUGUUUUUGGUAUAUCAAAUAAUCACUUGAUGAUGAGAAGAAGAAAAUAUUAGAGUCAUCAUAUAAGUUUAAUAAGAUAUGUAUUAUAGGAAGACUUUUAUGGUUCCAAAGGAGAAAAUAAAAAAUAGAAAAA